UUCCAGUCGAUGUGAUGGAUAUUGUUGACA
rnacentral:piRNA from 1 species